AUUGAACGCUGGCGGCAGGCCUAACACAUGCAAGUCGAGCGGUAGAGAGAAGCUUGCUUCUCUUGAGAGCGGCGGACGGGUGAGUAAUGCCUAGGAAUCUGCCUGGUAGUGGGGGAUAACGUUCGGAAACGGACGCUAAUACCGCAUACGUCCUACGGGUGAAAGCAGGGGACCUUCGGGCCUUGCGCUAUCAGAUGAGCCUAGGUCGGAUUAGCUAGUUGGUGGGGUAAUGGCUCACCAAGGCGACGAUCCGUAACUGGUCUGAGAGGAUGAUCAGUCACACUGGAACUGAGACACGGUCCAGACUCCUACGGGAGGCAGCAGUGGGGAAUAUUGGACAAAGGGCGAAAGCCUGAUCCAGCCAUGCCGCGUGUGUGAAGAAGGUCUUCGGAUUGUAAAGCACUUUAAGUUGGGAGGAAGGGUUGUAGAUUAAUACUCUGCAAUUUUGACGUUACCGACAGAAUAAGCACCGGCUAACUCUGUG
rnacentral:rRNA from 1 species